GCCCGAGUGGCGGAAUGGUAGACGCAGGGGAUUCAAAAUCCCCCGCCGCAAGGCGUGCCGGUUCGAGUCCGGCCUCGGGUA
rfam:Pseudoruegeria sp. SK021 NODE_2_length_221208_cov_52.5508, whole genome shotgun sequence.